CAGUAGCCACGGGAAUACGAAGGGGGCUAGCGUUGUUCGGAUUUACUGGGCGUAAAGCGCACGUAGGCGGAUUCUUAAGUCAGAGGUGAAAUCCCAAGGCUCAACCUUGGAACUGCCUUUGAUACUGGGGAUCUUGAGUUCGGGAGAGGUGAGUGGAACUGCGAGUGUAGAGGUGAAAUUCGUAGAUAUUCGCAAGAACACCAGUGGCGAAGGCGGCUCACUGGCCCGAUACUGACGCUGAGGUGCGAAAGCGUGGGGAGCAAACAGGAUUAGAUACCCCAGUAGUCCCUGUCUCUUAUAC
rnacentral:rRNA from 1 species